UGUUGUACCAAUGAAUUCUAAUCAGAUGAUGAUGGCUCAAUAUGGUCUAGCUCCUUUUCAACCUGACGGUGCUCAGCCAUUUUAUGGUGCACCUUAUGAGAAGGGACAGAUGGCUAGGCCUGACUCAACACCAGAAGUUGGAGCCGAACAAGGAUCUUUGUUGGGUUUCCCACCAGGUCCAGCUGGAAGUGCUAAUUUCAUGGCAAACUAUACACAACCAUGGAACUCUGGACCAACACCAGGGGGUCAGGCAAUUCCUGAUGGUUUUCCAAACCUGUCAGAUUCUCGGGGAAGCAUCGCAUAUUAUCAAGGUGAUUAUGGACGGAA
rnacentral:misc_RNA from 1 species